CUGGCUAUAGGAAAUUGUUAGUGGCAGACGGGUGAGUAAUGCGUAGGAAUCUACCUAGUAGUACGGAAUAGCCAUUAGAAAUGGUGGGUAAUACUGUAUAAUCCCCGAGGGGGAAAGAUUUAUCGCUAUUAGAUGAGCCUACGUUAGAUUAGCUAGUUGGUGAGGUAAUGGCUUACCAAGGCUAUGAUCUAUAGCUGGUCUGAGAGGACGAUCAGCCACACUGGAACUGAGAUACGGUCCAGACUCCUACGGGAGGCAGCAGUGGGGAAUAUUGGACAAUGGGCGAAAGCCUGAUCCAGCUAUGCCGCGUGAGUGAAGAAGGCCUUCGGGUUGUAAAACUCUUUCAAUAGGGAAGAUAAU
rnacentral:rRNA from 1 species